AAUAACUUACGGUGUUAGGGUAAGCCUAAGCAAACUAGGUGCACUUAGAUGGAUUAGGUGCACCUAGACGAACUAGGUGUGCCUAAUGGGCCUGGGUAAACCUAAUGGGCCUAAAUAUGUCUAACCAAGCUAUCAUAAAAGUGUACCUAGUAUCCAGAGUAGCUCAAAGAAGUAAGUUAUAUCAGUAUCGAUGGACCACUAGGAACUACUUUGAGUGUUGAAAGAACACUUAAUUAGGGCAUGUGCUAAGGGGACAAACAGCCAGCAUGCAAGGAUGGGGGCAUGCCCGAGUAUGAACAUGUCAAAACAUCGAGUAAAGGUGCCCUCAAUGGUACCAACUCUCUGUAUCAUCUGUCUCUGAUCACGGGCCUGAGACAAGUGAUUACUACCCAAAAAGUGCUAUUUUACACCUUUAAUGCAUUAUGUUUUAAGCACUUUUGUGUAGUAGUUCUCCAUCUUUAGUCCAAUUGGCAUGUUAAGGACCUAGCAAUAUCUUCUAAUCAUAUUUGUGGCUAGUUUUAAUGUUUUGAUAGCUUUUUGGAUCGUUAAAACAAGUCAAGCAAAGGAGAAAACCAAAGAGAAGCAAAGUGAAGAAAAAUCAAAAUGUAGCAGCUGCAGUCUUCUUUCGCACUUUUGGAGCACUUUCCGAAGUCCAAUUUUUACAUGCUAUAUACCAUUUUAAAGCUCUUGAAGUCAAGAAUCCAACGCUUCAAACCGUGCCCGAUUUGGAGCUGAAAUGAGGAAGAUAUGGCCUUCGGAAGCCAACUGCUCCAGCAUAUGCGAAAAUUUCGCAUUCCACAAGAGCAAAUGCGAAUUUCGCAUUUAGUUCGCAUUUGGUUCGCAUAACCCAUGCGUGUUGCGAAUUUUGCUCUGCCCUUUGCCGACUCCACUUUAGAUAUUUUCCUUUGUAUUUUGUGAUGUAAUUUCCUUUAUUAUCCUUGUAAUUUAACCAAUCACAAGCUUUUCCUUUUGUAAAAGACUUUUUAAGGGGUGGAAAUCACCUCUUGGAAGAUAUGGAAUACGUAUUACGUUUUAACACUUAGAAUUUUACAGAGCUCUCUCGUUCUCUUUUCUCUUUACUAUUUUCUUUUUCUUGGAAGCCAAACAACCUCUGAGGAUGUUUGCCCGGAGGAUGAGAGGCUAAACUUUCGGUUUCUUGGAGUAAAGGAAGCUAGGUGAAAAGUCCAGAUGAAAUGGUGGAAAGCUCCCGUGCAUUAAAUUCAGGUAGUUGGAAUUCAUAAAUGGCUUCUAAAUCCAAAGUUUUGCUUUAAAUCCCUUAGAAUCAUUUUGAAUGACCAAUACAUGGUAAGCUUCAGGUCUUUAUGGAUGCUUAUUGCUAGAUUCAUAUUAGUCCAUUAGUUAUCCUGUACGAGUCAUUGGAAAGUGAUUCAAGGUGAAGACCCAUAGUGUCUUAAGCCAUUAAUGGACCUUGACUACCAUUUCUAUUGAUCUUUUAUGGAUUAAAUCUUCAUUGUCAAACCUAUACCGGUUCGAGAAAUAACUAUAGGUUAAAUCCCCAAUGCGAGGAGAAAAAUCCGGAAUUUUCCACUUUCUAUUCUGAACUUGAUCCUAGCAACCCUUAGCUCCGGGAGACUUUCUUUCUUCCAUUUUUAAUUAGUUUAUGUUAGUUUAGUUUCAAACACUUUCAAAACAAAUUUUAUUUUCUUUUAAACUUUAAGUUUUUGAUUAAGGAAAUCAUUAAAUACAAUUUCUAAUUUUGAAUACAUCACUGGUAGAAUGAAAACCCAUCCCAGAGUUCGACCCUAGAGCCACUAUACUAUAGUAGCUUUACUACAUUAGUAUGAGGUCAUAGGUUUUAUAAAUGUUUUUGAUUAAAUGACCCAUUUGGAGUUACACGCGAAUCAACAAGUAAACUAAAUGGAAAGACAAUAUGUGACCCUCGAUACCCCCCGAAGUAAUGGAGACCUGUCAACAUCUCAUACUCAAUCAGUAGACGAAGCCUGUCUGAAUGAACCGUAUCGAAGCAAACACGAGACCUCAUGUCCUCAGGGUGGUCUUACAACUUGGACCGUAAUGUAGGCCAGGGGUAAAAUGUGAAUGAAACGAUGGGAAACAAAGGCCCAAAUCUCCAAAUAGAUAGUGUCAAACCCCUAUGUGCGUAAUGUCAAAUAUCGCAGAACCAUGUGAGUGAGGUGACUCAACCAUGUAUCUAAAUAAAAAAACAUCAAACAAUAGGUGACAUGCACCAAAGAACUCAUCGUUCAUGAAGCGAGAUGACAAUCGGCGAGGGUAGCUGAAGAUGAAGAGGGAUGAGACAAAUAAUGAAUGAAGGUAUAGGGAAUGGAGAAACAAGCUGGGAAACAAGUGCAGCAAUGUGUGACAAUGACGAACAACUCAUCUUAAGAACGGCAACUCAAAGCAAGUCACUAUAUGAUGGGAAUGGUGAUGUAGAUAAUGAUCCAGGAAACCUAGUGCAAAGGAAACCCAAACCUCACUCCCAAUGUGUCACCCAGAUCCAGGGUGAGAAGGAUCGUUCAAUGCUCUCACCCGACUCUUAAAGGAAAAAGAAAUCCCUCAAACCCAAAACCACCUCUGAUGAUCCCAAGUAUAUCAACGAAUACCAAACAAGCACAAUUUUUUCUUUUUUCAUUUUUUAUUUUAUUUUUUCUUUUUUCAUUUUUUAUUUUAUUUUUUCCUUUUUCAAUUUUUUCUUUCUUUUUUUUUCAUUCAUUUUUUUUUCAAAGUAGGCCGAAUACCCCACUAGCAUAGUCCAACCAAGAGAACCUCAAAUCUCAAACCCAAAUGGUCUCCUCAAACUAAAACUCCUGGAUCAAAACCUAAGGGUGGAACGAAAGAUGUGACAAGCCUGACUUGUAGCCUUGAGACGAGAGCGCGUCACCAUCACACAAGGGAAAACAGAAGUGAAAUGAAUACAGUGUGAAGAUGCAAAACAGAGAAGAAAAGAAACAAGCAAUGAUGCAAAAAAGAACAAACGAAGAAUAACACAAUGCUCCCAAUGCUCACAGAUCUAAUCAAUAAAUACAAAGCGCACAGGGGUAGGCCCCCAACCCGGGUCAAAAAAAGGUAUGCAAGGCUGAAUGAAAGAAAAGGCCAUAAUAAACCGCGUGAGGCUCAAAGGGCUAGCAAUAGGGUAUAUCGAUGUAUGAGUGUGCAAUAGGGAAUAUGGCUACUCGAAGUGAUGGCCACCCAUCCUCUGACCAUGAUCUCACGCAUAAAACUUCUUCAGCUGAUCCACAUUGACUGGCUCUAUGAACUGAUUUCCGUCUAGGUCUGUCAACCAGGCAGCUCCCUCUUGAGUCAGAUCUCAGAUGACAUAAGGCCCGCUCCAACUCGGUCUAAACUUGCCUCCAAGGUCGCUGAUCAAUCCCCUAAGGACUUUCAAGACUAGGUCACCUCUUUGGAAUUUCCUAGGCCUAACCCUCUUUUUGAAUGCAUAGGUCAUCUUCCUCUGAUAGGCCUGAGCAUGAUCUGCUGCCCUUAAUCUCUUCUCAUCCAACAGGCUAAGCUGAUCGUAACGAGACUGGACCCACUCGGCCUCGGAUACAUGUUGCUCUAGUGCUACUCUUAAAGAUCUCAUCUCAAUCUCAACAGAUAACACUGCCUCCAUACCAUACACCAAAGAAUAUGGGGUAGCUCUAGUAGAGGUACGAAAAUAUGUACGAUAAGCCCACAAUGCGAAAGGGAGCUUUUCUGACCAAUCCCGAGAAGUCUCGACCAUCUUUCUCAAAAUCAUCUUGAUAUUCUUAUUUGCGGCCUCAACUGCCCCGUUAGUUUGUGGCCUGUACACAGACGAUUUGUGAUGCUGAAUGCCAUACUCCUAAAUCAACGUGUCCACCUCACCCCUGAAAUGCACCCCUCUAUCAAAAAUCAGCUCUUGAGGGACCCUGUAUCGGCAGAUAAUGUGCGAUAUGAUGAAUUUGGCCACCUUGGCCGCUAUCAAUCUAGCAUAAGAAGCGGCUUCCACCCACUUGGUGAAAUAGUCAAUGGCUACUAAGAUGUACUCAUGACCAUUGGAGGACUUGGGCGAGAUCUUCCCAAUAAUAUCAACACCUCAUACUGAAAAUGGCCAAGGGGAUGUGAGUGCAUGCAACUCAAAAGGUGGCACGUGUAUCAAGUCUCCAUGCAUCUGACACUCCUGACAUCUCUGUACAAACUGGCAACAAUCUGUCUCCAUGGUCAAUCAAAAGUAACCAACCCUCAUGAUCUUACACGCUAGCAUAUGACCUCCCAUGUGUGGGCCACAGACCCCUGCAUGAACCUCUCUCAUCACUCGAUCUGCAGAUAUACGAUCUAGACAUAAUAAUAAUAGGCCAUCAGGUGAUCUCCUAUACAGUGCAUCCCCACAAAUAACAAAUCUGAUGGCCAACUGUCUCAAUGCUCUCCUAUCCUUGGUCGAGGUUGACUCUGGGUAAGUGUCGCAUGACAGAAACUGAUAAAUAUCGUGAUACCAUGGCAACUCAAUCUGAUCCUCUAUCUCUCCAAUCAGACAAUAGUAAGCUGGUGCAGACCUAGUUUUAAUCAGCAAUGGCCUAAUAGUCACCCCCGCGGGGAUCACAAUCAUAGAAGCCAAGGUGGCUAAUGCAUCGGCAAACUGAUUCUCCGCCCUGGGCAGAUGUAUAUACCUUAACACAUCAAAUCCAUCACUCAACAGGUCCAAGUAAGCAUGGUAGGGUUUUAGCUUCUCAUCCCGAGUCCUCCAGAUACCCUGAGUUUGCUGUAUAACCAAAUUGAAAUCCCCGUGGAUCUCCAACUAUCUAAUGCCAAGAUCAAGUGUAGUCUCCAAACCUGUAAUGCAAGCCUCAUACUCCACAAUAUUAUUCGUCAACCGGUGAUGAUCGGAAAAUGGUAACCGGACUGAUCUGGGGAUAUGAUCACCCUGUGGUGAUAUCAACAAGAUACCAAUGCCAAACCCCGACUGAUUGGCGGCGCCAUCAAAGUACAAUCGCCAUCCCAUAAUGAUUACUACCCAAAAAGUGCUAUUUUACACCUUUAAUGCAUUAUGUUUUAAGCACUUUUGUGUAGUAGUUCUCCAUCUUUAGUCCAAUUGGCAUGUUAAGGACCUAGCAAUAUCUUCUAAUCAUAUUUGUGGC
rnacentral:lncRNA from 1 species